AUUUACCAAUUACGUACGAUUAAGGCAAGUUUUCUUUUGUAUCAUGUUUUUCGAUUCUGCCCAAUCGUAGGAUCUGUGAUAUCCAUGAGUGUCCAUCCCCCAACACGUGGUUGAAACAAAGCAGUUUUCUAAAUCUUUGAAACAGCCCAGUACUCCCUAGAUAAAGAAUUGAUAGACUCUGAAGAGGAGAUGAUUCAACAACUUAUCAUGUCCAAUUUACUACUGAAGCACCAGAUGCAGAAACACAAAGUAGAAGAAUUUUGUCUCACCGUCGGUGAAGUUGAUGCUAGUUGUCUGCAAGCUUCUUUUGUUUCUUGUUUGAUGUCAAGGAAUGCAGAUUCAUAGCUGGACUUUCAAAUCGUCACUCACACUUGAGAUCGAAAACCAUAUUGAAAAUAAAUCACCCAUCCAUCCCACGAUGCCACAACCCAACCUGCUGCAGCCAGCGACGAAAGAAAAACCGAAACUGUCGUUGGACAGGUCCAAGACGGGCAAUUCACCAACCUCAACAUCAACCAUUGAUGCAGUAGAUUUUGACACCGAAAGGCACAUAAUAUCAUGUGCAGAUCCUGCAAGGUGACUCUCUUACCCUCAUCUAGCUACCAUUCAAAACCUCUUGCGGCUUAGAUGCUGGUUCUUGUCAAUCAACCAGAGGGCAACAACAAACCUGAACAUUAAUUACCUUCGUUGUUCGGACCUUAAUGUUUGGCGCAACUGCAUAUUCCACCGUCUUCCACGGUGGAGGUUGCUACCACCAUCGUCACUCCGAUUUUUAUGGAAAUUGUUACGGCUUCUCCUCUUCUGCUGUCGUUGUUUCGACACUCGCUGUAACUACAACUGCUGGCACUGACAAGCAGAUCCCUUGAGUUAUUGAACCUCCUGGCGCGUCGUUGUCCUACACAAUUAUCAACAUUGGAAUGCCGUGGCCGCUCGAUGAGCUAAGGUUCUUGACUGGAAUGGUGUGGAGUACCAGUGGUGAAGCCGGACAAGAAAACGAGAUUGCUUUGAAAGAUUUUUUUCCAAUGUCAGUUUAAUAAGCUAAAUUUCUAGAAAAUGUUGUUUACUAUGGAAGUAAGUGAAGUAGAAAGGACAAGGGAAAUUCUUCAUGGGAUAAGGGAAAGUUCAUUGACAGAAUAGUAAAAAAUUUGCACAAUGAAAGAAUUUUUUGGUGAAGAUAAACUUUGAGUUAAAAUUUAUUGGGGAUAGAUCAUGUGCACAUGAUACUUUGCAGCUAAAUUCAUUUUGGUAAUGUAAUAUUUACUUUUUGCGUGAAUUUUGACUCUUACCUUAAAUUGAAUAAUUACCUUAAAUUGAAUAAUUGAUGAAACUUAACAAACCUGGGAGGGUGUGACUGUUAGUAUCUUCUUAUUUUUAUUGGUAUAGAUGAAGGGGAAGAAAAAGGCAAAGUGUAAAUACGACAGAAGUUAUUCAAUGUUAUCAGGAUAUCAGU